CAGUGUUGCCAUAGACAAAGAAAACAAUGUAGAGUUAAAGUUUUAUCGUUCAACUUCAAGGUCAAUAUGGACAUUUAACGUUUUGGUUGAUUGAGUGACAAAUUAUAUUAAUGGCAUAGGCAAAUAGCAACUCAGAGAGAGAGAGAGAGAGAGAGGGAGAGUGAAACAGAGAGAAGAUAAUGUGAUGCGAAAACAGUUAUUUUGGUAUUUGUUUAAGAAAAUCGUGAGUUUGAAUAAAUAAUUUACUUAAAUUCAGCUACAAUACUAAAUCUAUAGAACUUCAUAGCUGGACAGUGGAGCAUGUCACCUUAAGUUUCCUGACUGAGCGAAUGCGUGAAUAUUCAAUAAUUGUUAAAUCAAUUUGAUUGAUUAGUUUUGUAUGGUUAAAAUAAAUUUUCCGUUUACCAACAAACAGACUACACACCUUUUUAUUGAUAAAAAUGUCAACAUCCCAAUUAGUCCAAGUGAUUGAAAGAAAGGGGGAAAAACAAUAUUUAUCAAGUAUAUACUUUCAAAGUAUUAAAAUGUCGUUUCAAUAUAAAUUUAAUUAGAACCAAUUUGUUAUUGUUGUUUUUUUAAUUAAGGAAACAGCAAAGUAUGAGAUGUCCCUCGUUUUUAGGUUUAUAAGGAAUUGGAGAAUUUCCAUACUCAAAACGAAGAUGACUAAUACACUACUCUUUUUCUCAUGCAAAAAUUUCAAUUGUUUUCAAACUGAGCGUAACGCUUUAACCUCAUAAUUGGUAUAAAAAUACAGGAUGUUUAUUCAGCAAAAUAAAUAUACUAU